rnacentral:tRNA from 1 species
UAGCCUAGUGGUAAGGCUUUGGAUCGCCAAUCCGGAGACGGCGGGUUCGAUUCCCGC